AGGACGAACGCUGGCGGCGUGCUUAACACAUGCAAGUCGAGCGGAAAGGCCCUUCGGGGUACUCGAGCGGCGAACGGGUGAGUAACACGUGAGCAACCUGCCCUUAGCUUCGGGAUAGCUCCGGGAAACCGGAAUUAAUACCGAAUAUGACUUUGGCUGACAUCAGCAGAAGUGGAAAGUUUUUCGGCUAGGGAUGGACUCGCGGCCUAUCAGCUAGUUGGUGGGGUAACGGCCCACCAAGGCGACGACGGGUA
rnacentral:rRNA from 1 species